rnacentral:rRNA from 1 species
CUAGUAACGGCGAGUGAAGCGGCAACAGCUCAAAUUUGAAAUCUGGCCCUCGCGGUCCGAGUUGUAAUUUGUAGAGGAUGCUUUGGGUGCGGCGCCUUCCAAGUUCCCUAGAACGGGACGCCUUAGAGGGUGAGAGCCCCGUACGGUUGGACGCCUAGCCCAUGUAUAGCUCCUUCGACGAGUCGAGUAGUUUGGGAAUGCUGCUCUAAAUGGGAGGUAAAUUUCUUCUAAAGCUAAAUACCGGCCAGAGACCGAUAGCGCACAAGUAGAGUGAUCGAAAGAUGAAAAGUACUUUGAAAAGAGGGUUAAAUAGCACGUGAAAUUGUUGAAAGGGAAGCGUUUGCGACCAGACCUUUUCCAGGCGGAUCAUCCGGCGUUCUCGCCGGUGCACUUCGCCUGGUUUAGGCCAGCAUCGGUUUUCCCAGGGGGAUAAAGGCGGCGGGAACGUGGCUCCUUCGGGAGUGUUAUAGCCCGCCGCGUAAUACCCUUGGGGGGACCGAGGACCGCGCUUCGGCAAGGAUGCUGGCGUAAUGGUCGUCAACGACCCGUCUUGAAACACGGACCAAGGAGUCGAACAUUUGUGCGAGUGUUUGGGUGUCAAACCCUCACGCGUAAUGAAAGUGAACGGAGGUGAGAGCCCCUUGCGGGUGCAUCAUCGACCGAUCCUGAUGUCUUCGGAUGGAUUUGAGUAAGAGCAUAACUGUUCGGACCCGAAAGAUGGUGAACUAUGCGUGGAUAGGGUGAAGCCAGAGGAAACUCUGGUGGAGGCUCGCAGCGGUUCUGACGUGCAAAUCGAUCGUCAAAUCUGCGCAUGGGGGCGAAAGACUUAUCGAACCAUCUAGUAGCUGGUA